GGUGAGUAACGCGUAAGGAACUUGCCUCUUGGACUGGGACAACUGUUGGAAACGACAGCUAAUACCGGAUAUUAUGAGAUUCUCGCAUGAGAAACUUAUGAAAGCUAUAUGCGCCAAGAGAGAGCCUUGCGUUCCAUUAGCUAGUUGGUGGGGUAACGGCCCACCAAGGCGACGAUGGAUAGCCGGCCUGAGAGGGUGAACGGCCACAAGGGGACUGAGACACGGCCCUUACUCCUACGGGAGGCAGCAGUGGGGAAUAUUGGACAAUGGGCCACAAGCCUGAUCCAGCAAUUCUGUGUGCACGAUGAAGGUCUUCGGAUUGUAAAGUGCUUUCAGUUGGGAAGAAGAAAGUGACGGUACCAACAGAAGAAGCGACGGCUAAAUACGUGCCAGCAGCCGCGGUAAUACGUAUGUCGCAAGCGUUAUCCGGAUUUAUUGGGCGUAAAGCGCGUCUAGGCGGAAAAAUAAGUCUGAUGUUAAAAUGCGGGGCUCAACUCCGUAUUGCGUUGGAAACUGUUUUUCUAGAGUACUGGAGAGGUGGGCGGAACUACAAGUGUAGAGGUGAAAUUCGUAGAUAUUUGUAGGAAUGCCGAUGGAGAAGUCAGCUCACUGGACAGAUACUGACGCUGAAGCGCGAAAGCGUG
rnacentral:rRNA from 1 species